GCAGACACAUUCCAGCCAAUCAGCAGCAGACCCUCCCUCCCAGACCCUCCCACCUCCUGGACAGCAUUUUACAUUCAUUGUGAAGCUGCAUUCUUAGUGAGCUGUCCAGGAGGUGGGAGGGUCUGGGAGGGAGGGUCUGCUGCUGAUUGGCUGGAAUGUGUCUG
rnacentral:miRNA from 1 species